GAAGCGGCAACAGCUCAAAUUUGAAAUCUGGCUCUUUUAGAGUCCGAGUUGUAAUUUGCAGAGGGCGCUUUGGCUUUGGCAGCGGUCCAAGUUCCUUGGAACAGGACGUCACAGAGGGUGAGAAUCCCGUACGUGGUCGCUAGCUAUUGCCGUGUAAAGCCCCUUCGACGAGUCGAGUUGUUUGGGAAUGCAGCUCUAAAUGGGAGGUAAAUUUCUUCUAAAGCUAAAUAUUGGCCAGAGACCGAUAGCGCACAAGUAGAGUGAUCGAAAGAUGAAAAGCACUUUGGAAAGAGAGUCAAACAGCACGUGAAAUUGUUGAAAGGGAAGCGCUUGCAGCCAGACUUGCUUGCAGUUGCUCAUCCGGGCUUUUGCCCGGUGCACUCUUCUGCAGGCAGGCCAGCAUCAGUUUGGGCGGUGGGAUAAAGGUCUCUGACACGUUCCUCUCUUCGGGGAGGCCAUAUAGGGGAGACGUCAUACCACCAGCCUGGACUGAGGUCCGCGCAUCUGCUAGGAUGCUGGCGUAAUGGCUGUAAGCGGCCCGUCUUGAAACACGGACCAAGGAGUCUAACAUCUAUGCGAGUGUUUGGGUGUCAAGCCCGAACGCGUAAUGAAAGUGAACGGAGGUGGGAACCCGCAAGGGCGCACCAUCGACCGAUCCUGAAGUUUACGGAAGGAUUUGAGUAAGAGCAUGGCUGUUGGGACCCGAAAGAUGGUGAACUAUGCUUGAAUAGGGUGAAGCCAGAGGAAACUCUGGUGGAGGCUCGCAGCGGUUCUG
rnacentral:rRNA from 1 species